rnacentral:rRNA from 1 species
AUGGUAUCAGUGGUAGGGGAGCGUUCUAAGUGCAGUGAAGUCAGACCGGAAGGACUGGUGGAGCGCUUAGAAGUGAGAAUGCCGGUAUGAGUAGCGAAAGACGGGUGAGAAUCCCGUCCACCGAAUGCCUAAGGUUUCCUGAGGAAGGCUCGUCCGCUCAGGGUUAGUCAGGACCUAAGCCGAGGCCGACAGGCGUAGGCGAUGGACAACAGGUUGAUAUUCCUGUACCACCUCUUUAUCGUUUGAGCAAUGGAGGGACGCAGAAGGAUAGAAGAAGCGUGCGAUUGGUUGUGCACGUCCAAGCAGUUAGGCUGAUAAGUAGGCAAAUCCGCUUAUCGUGAAGGCUGAGCUGUGAUGGGGAAGCUCCUUAUGGAGCGAAGUCUUUGAUUCCCCGCUGCCAAGAAAAGCUUCUAGCGAGAUAAAAGGUGCCUGUACCGCAAACCGACACAGGUAGGCGAGGAGAGAAUCCUAAGGUGUGCGAGAGAACUCUGGUUAAGGAACUCGGCAAAAUGACCCCGUAACUUCGGGAGAAGGGGUGCUUUCUUAACGGAAAGCCGCAGUGAAUAGGCCCAAGCGACUGUUUAGCAAAAACACAGGUCUCUGCGAAGCCGUAAGGCGAAGUAUAGGGGCUGACACCUGCCCGGUGCUGGAAGGUUAAGGAGAGGGGUUAGCGUAAGCGAAGCUCUGAACUGAAGCCCCAGUAAACGGCGGCCGUAACUAUAACGGUCCUAAGGUAGCGAAAUUCCUUGUCGGGUAAGUUCCGACCCGCACGAAAGGUGUAACGAUUUGGGCACUGUCUCAACCAGAGACUCGGUGAAAUUAUAGUACCUGUGAAGAUGCAGGUUACCCGCGACAGGACGGAAAGACCCCGUGGAGCUUUACUGUAGCCUGAUAUUGAAUUUUGGUACAGUUUGUACAGGAUAGGCGGGAGCCAUUGAAACCGGAGCGCUAGCUUCGGUGGAGGCGCUGGUGGGAUACCGCCCUGACUGUAUUGAAAUUCUAACCUACGGGUCUUAUCGACCCGGGAGACAGUGUCAGGUGGGCAGUUUGACUGGGGCGGUCGCCUCCUAAAGUGUAACGGAGGCGCCCAAAGGUUCCCUCAGAAUGGUUGGAAAUCAUUCGUAGAGUGCAAAGGCAUAAGGGAGCUUGACUGCGAGACCUACAAGUCGAGCAGGGACGAAAGUCGGGCUUAGUGAUCCGGUGGUUCCGCAUGGAAGGGCCAUCGCUCAACGGAUAAAAGCUACCCCGGGGAUAACAGGCUUAUCUCCCCCAAGAGUCCACAUCGACGGGGAGGUUUGGCACCUCGAUGUCGGCUCAUCGCAUCCUGGGGCUGUAGUCGGUCCCAAGGGUUGGGCUGUUCGCCCAUUAAAGCGGUACGCGAGCUGGGUUCAGAACGUCGUGAGACAGUUCGGUCCCUAUCCGUCGUGGGCGUAGGAAAUUUGAGAGGAGCUGUCCUUAGUACGAGAGGACCGGGAUGGACGCACCGCUGGUGUACCAGUUGUUCUGCCAAGGGCAUAGCUGGGUAGCUAUGUGCGGAAGGGAUAAGUGCUGAAAGCAUCUAAGCAUGAAGCCCCCCUCAAGAUGAGAUUUCCCAUAGCGUAAGCUAGUAAGAUCCCUGAAAGAUGAUCAGGUUGAUAGGUUCGAGGUGGAAGCAUGGUGACAUGUGGAGCUGACGAAUACUAAUAG